rnacentral:rRNA from 3 species
UGGCGACCAUAGCAAGAGUGAACCACCUGAUCCCUUCCCGAACUCAGAAGUGAAACCUCUUAGCGCUGAUGGUAGUGUGGGGUUUCCCAUGUGAGAGUAAGUCAUCGCCAG